rnacentral:rRNA from 1 species
GGAACUAGGCAAAAUAGCACCGUAACUUCGGGAGAAGGUGCGCCGGCGUAGAUUGUAAGGGCUAGCCCCUGAAGGUUGAACCGGUCGAAGUGACCCGCUGGCUGCAACUGUUUAUUAAAAACACAGCACUCUGCAAACACGAAAGUGGAGGUAUAGGGUGUGAUGCCUGCCCGGUGCUGGAAGGUUAAUUGAUGGUGUAAUCGCAAGAGAAGCACCUGAUCGAAGCCCCAGUAAACGGCGGCCGUAACUAUAACGGUCCUAAGGUAGCGAAAUUCCUUGUCGGGUAAGUUCCGACCUGCACGAAUGGCAUAAUGAUGGCCAGGCUGUCUCCACCCGAGACUCAGUGAAAUUGAAAUCGCCGUGAAGAUGCGGUGUACCCGCGGCUAGACGGAAAGACCCCGUGAACCUUUACUAUAGCUUGACACUGAACAUUGAAUUUUGAUGUGUAGGAUAGGUGGGAGCCUUUGAAGCAGUGACGCCAGUCAUUGUGGAGGCGAGCUUGAAAUACCACCCUUUAACGUUUGAUGUUCUAACGAAGAUGACGAAACGUGGUCUCGGACAGUGUCUGGUGGGUAGUUUGACUGGGGCGGUCUCCUCCCAAAGCGUAACGGAGGAGCACGAAGGUUUGCUAAUCACGGUCGGACAUCGUGAGGUUAGUGCAAUGGUAUAAGCAAGCUUAACUGCGAGACAGACAAGU